UUUUGAUCUAUAACCCAGUUUCUUUACCUUCUAAAGUAAAAAUUUAGAAGUAGAAACAUUACUUCUAUUGUGUCUUUAUUAUUUUCUCUAACUCAUUGAGACUCUUAGAAUAGAGGCGCUGUUUCCAAAAUAUGGCAUAGACCACAGUGAACUUUCAGAAAACAGCCACUCUGAAAACAAUGAAAAUUUUAAUUUAAUUUCAUUUAUUUCUCUUCUGUCUUCUUAAUAAAGUAGAGCUCUCUUCAUGUUGAGAAGGAGAAAACUCAACUUGUCCUUUCCAGCUUCCCCGUACUUACUCAGCUCAGCAUAUUUAUCGCAGGGAAACUAAGACACUUGCAAAGAAAAAGAGAACUAGGAAAACUAGGAUGAUCAGUGGCAACAAUAUAUGAUUUUUAUUUAAAAGAAACCAUAAUUAUUUGAUAUCGCCAACAAUGAUAGCAAAACAGUCCUAUAAAGAGAAGACUUAAAAAAUAUGUCAACCUCAGCUUUGCUGUGACGGCUGGGCAACUGUUCCUUCUCUUCCCCACUCUCCUCUUUUUAUGUUAACCACGUUAUUAGUGCGACUAAUAAUAAUUUCCCUGAAGAAACUUUGCCUCUAAAGAAUAAUGCCCUUCGUUUUCCCCACGUUGAUUUGCAUGGAAUUACGAAACCAACUUUAUUAUCACAGUCAUUAAAAUCAGUGUAUAUUUCAUUCUGCUUGUACAGGAAGUGACUAUUUGAAGUAUCCAUUUGAAAGAUGACUUAAUGUUUAGAUAGUGAACUCCUAUGUUUAUCAUGUCAAAACCUCAGAGAAAUAUUUUGUUUUCCUAAAGUGCUCUAAAUGGCUGCUCAGUUGCACACAGUUGUGAUUAGCUAUGUGUAUGUAUAUCCACAAAGUUAUUGAUAUUAAAAUAACACUAUUAUAAUGAUACAAUUAGAAUGUUUGAAUUCUAUUCUUCUUUUGUUCCACGGAUUACAGACACUUUUUGAGUCGUAAGUGAAGUAACUUCUUCAGAGUACAGCAUUCCCCCACGAAAACUCUGGCAUUUUUCUUCUUUGCCGAUGAAAGAACUCAUUUGCUGAAACAACUGAUGCACUUGGGAAGAAGUGACAACCCUAUUUUGAUUUCAUUUAACUGACCUUUUACAAUGACUCCUAGAUAGGAAGAAGAUGGUCAUCUGUAAACUAGGAAGUGGGCUCUUACCAAACAUCCAGUCUGCUGGUGCCUUUAUUUUGGACAUCCCAGUCUCCAGAACUGUUUCUGGUUUCUCCACCCAGUCUCCCUACAGUCCUCCACUCCCGGCACCCCGUCCUUCCGGCCUCCACCCAGACUCUCAGAGACCCGACAUUCCAGGUAACCCGACUCCGCAGACGCGGGAGGCCCACGUGACCCGCCCCGCCCACCGCGUGAGCGCCCGCCGCCUUCCGGAAACCAGGGGCAGGCCCCAAACUCUGAAAUUUCAUCUUGUGUGUGAGAACAAGCGUCUUCUGCCGUGAAUGAACUGCUCAGCGACCUCAGUGUGAUUCUCUUGUUCUUUAUGCUCCUGGAUUGAUGAGGCCAGAAACUCUUGUCAAGUGAUCAACCUUUGAUUCCUUGGGAAAAUGGACCUCCACACAAAGUCACCUGAGAUUUGGAUGGAAAUGAUGCCUCCCUUCCACUUUGUGUAUCCCAAAGCCAACAUAACAGCUGGAUAGGAAGGAGGAAGGAACCAAUAUGUAAUAAAUGUCUUCUCUGUUUUACAUACAUUAUCUCAUCUAAUUUUCACAACGCCCUCUGAAGUGAGAGACUGAUAGCACUCCAUUGUGCAGAUGAUGCUCAGAAAUACCCAACACACAGACAAAAGGAAGUAGAGGCUUAAAACAAUUAACUGGAGACUGUGGGACAUGUUUAAGAAUUUGGAUAAGUGAGGCUAAUUUCUCCGUUCUCCCUCAACUUGAAAAUCACUAGAAAAAAGAUUUUGAGAUGCAGUUCCAUUGAUGGCAGUUAAGCUUCUUUUCUGAUACUUCAGUGAUUCAUCUAACAGGGACAUGUCAGGCCCUCAAGGUCCCAUCGAAUUAUGGUGUAAGGCCAGGAGACAGAUGUGUAAGCUACCUGGCCUCAUGGUGAGCUUGCGGCGUGGACUGUACCAAUUGCGUGAGACAGCGUACAAGGCCAUAUAAUAGAGGGGAUUAGUACGGGAUAUGCACGAUUCCAGCGCAGAGUAACAGUGUUCAGGAAUUAGAGCACACUUAGAGGUGUAAGAACUUUAAAGGUCAAGAAGAUUGGUUAAAGAUCUAAACUUCAUGAAACCAGGCUCACCAUUUCAGAUCACCUUCAGAUUAUCAUCUGACUUCUAUGCAUUUGCUAAUUAAAAAAGAAAAACUGCAGAAGACGGAGGUCUGCUUUCCAUGGUGUCUCCGCCUCACCAUGCCAGGGAGUACAGCAGUUACCACAGAGAUUUUCCCUAUGUCUAAAGACUAUUGGAAUCUAGGUUUUUCCAUAAAGGAAUAAUAAUAAAUACCUUCUGUGUAGCAGCCUGGCUUUCUAAUAGGGACAAGAGAUGUAUCAGGCCACAAUCCUUGUAUAAUUUCCUUGAAUAUGGGGAAGAAAGAUGAGCUACAUAAGGUUUUUAUCACAGGCUCUGGUGUCUCUGUAACUCCCUGGUCUGUUGGUUUCGUCUUCCCCUUGCUAUGUAGUCUCCAUUGGAUUAUCCCAAUGCUCUCUGAAAACAAACAAAAGCAAUUUUUUUCUAUUUUUCAUAAAGGAGCAGAAAGAAUCUAUAGACAGCUCUACUACAGACUCCUUUUCUCUUUGGUCCCAAGCAGUGGAAUGGGAAAAUUUCUUUAUUAAUUAUAAUAUAGAAUUAUGUGACCAUAUAAAACAAUUUUGUGUGAUCCAGCAAUUCUUUUUCUGGGUAUAUGCCUUAAAGAUUUGAAAGCAGGGACUCAAAGAAAUACUUGCACACCAUUGUUCAUAGAGCAACAUCAUUCACAAUGGCCAGAAGGUGGAAGCAACCCAAGUGUCCAUUGAUAGAUGUGUGGGUAAACAAAGUGUUGUAUAGACAUUGAAUGGAAUAUCACUCAGCCUUGAAAAGGAAUGAAAUUCUGACACAUGCUAAAAUGAGUAUGAAAGUUGAGCACAUUAUGCUAAGUGAAAUAAGCCUACCACAGCAGGAAAAAUACUGAGUCCUUAUGUGAGGUACUUGGAGUAAUAAAAUUCAUAGUGACAGGAAGUAGAAGGGUGGUUGUGAUGGGCCGGGAAGGAGACCGUAACGAGGAGUUAUUGUUUAAUGGGUACAGAUUUUCAGUUUUUCAAGAUGACAAGAGUUCUGUGGAUGGAUGGCAUUAAUGGUAGCAGAGCAAAUGCAUGCAGUUAAUGCCACCUAACGGCAACUUAAAUGUGGUUAAGAUGAUACAUUUUAUGUUACGUGCAUUUUACUGCUAUUAAAAAUUUUAGAUUUCACCUCUAACAUGUGAAAAUAAUUAUAGGUUGCCUACUGCGUGCUAAAGGUCAAACUAGGUACUUUACGUACGUUAUUCCUGAUAGAUAUUAUUAUUCUCAUUUUACAACUGAGGAAACAGAAGUUCAUAGGAGUUAAAAUAAUUUCAAGAGGUUAUGCAAUUAAGCAGCAGAAAUGCAAUCUGAAUUCACAUCUGUGUACUCUCUGCAUUGCCCCACACUUCUGCUCCCCAUGUGGAACAUAGUUGCGCAGACACACAUACUCUUCCAUAUUUUCAUCUUGGCAUAUAAUAUGUAUUAUUCCUUAGCUUAAGUUAAUUGUGUUAAUUGCUAUACAUACAAAUGUUGAGGUUAACCACUUAAUUAAUAUUGCAAAAUUAAUCCACAUAAUCACGUGGCACGGUCUGACUCUCACUGCCAAAUGAAUCUGAGAGGAAGAGCUGCCUCAAUACAAACAGCUUUAUUGGUUGCCUCAGGAAGCAAGGAAUUAGACUGAUUGCUUAGGCUUCAGGCUUUGUAAUUACAACCUGGCAUUUUAGUAAUUGCAAUUUAAAAUUUCAGUUCCAAAAGGCUUAAGACCAAGUCCAUCAUCUCACAACUUUUUCUCCCACAUUUUUGGGAAAAGAACGAAUUACUUUAAAAUGUAUCUUGGGGAACUGCUAGAAGAUUUUCUAAGUGUUUUUGUGUCUCUAAAUGAACUUAAUAUGUGUUCAUUGUGUAACCAGAACAGUCUGUCUGGUAGAGGAAGAACUUGGGUCCCUGGUAAACAAAAUGGUCUCAGCCUUGCUGGAGCAUGUCUUUCCUAAGUAGUGGGCACAGAAGCAGGAUAAUUGGCUACCUCCUGGUUGCAAAUAUAGGUAUGUUAACGGUGGGCCUGAGGGGAACCUCCAUUUUGGGUUGUAGUUUAUUAUUAGGUGAGGAAAUUACUGGACACCUCCAGCUGCCAUUAAUCAGCUGCAGAGUCAGACUGGAGCCAAGGGAGAAGCCUGUGGGUGGAUUCUGCCCGGUACUGUGGAAAUACAAGAAGACAGAGACAAAUGUUUUCCAGCCUAGCAGCACUAAACUCUGCCCUUUCACAGUCCUUAACAUGCGUGUUCAAAUUGAUUUAGUCCAUUUACCCCCAACCUAACCAUCUAUUUUCCUUGAAGACUGACAGUUUUAUGUGUCACUACCAUGUUAUUUUCUGUUGCUCCUCUGCCGGUAGCUAUAGUGUUUCAGAAACAUUUACUUCCAGACGUAAAGGAUGAGUGAGGAGGGGGAUGUAGAGAAAGGGAGGUGAGGUUGCAUUAUUUUAACUCCUUUUUUUUAUGGGGUGCAAAACAUGCCCAUCAUGGCACCAACUUUCUCCCUCCCUCUCUCUUCUUUAUUCCUUUUCUGUGUCAAUGAUUUCCGUGAAAAAGCCUUGAAUAAAAUUUCCCACUUGAGAAAUGCAUCUGUCAGGUGAUGUCAAUGCCUAGCUUACUCCUCUUCCUGUUGGGUUGCAAACAUGGCAUUCUCUCAUGGUCCUGGAAUGCUGACACGGCCAAGUGGCAGAAGCCAAACACAGGUAGGGUCAAGGUGAAAACCUCAGUGGGGCCAUCGUCCACUGCUUAGCUUUGGAGGGAAUGGGAAAAGUCCAGGAGCAAUUUGUUACCUCUGCUCCUGUGUAAAUUCAGAAAAGGGGGAUGGUGGAGAUAAAAACCAAGACAGCCCCCUGUCAGCUGCAGGGACAUCAGUCAAGACAUUCCAAGUGCUUGUCCCGUUGGCAGUGUUUGCCUCAGGAUGAGCAGGAAUUCAGGUCUGACCCUUGCUUUCUUGGAAUUGGAUGAAAGUGACUUAUCUGAACAUGUAAGAAUAUUUCUGGCUCCGGAGGCCAAAGACUAAAAUUCAGAGUUAAAAUAAAUACUCAGAGAAGGAAAGGAAACAGAGAGGUCAAAGGUUUCAUCAGAUAGGAACCUCUAAGAUUACUGACUUAACCAUACCUUUGUUUUAUUCUGUCUGGUUUUCGUGUACUACUCUAUGCCACAGAAAACAGAGAGACUCUCUUUUUACUCAUCCUGCUUUUGUGUAGAAGGGUAGAAGAUGACAAUUCCAUUGAUUUAUGUAGACAAAUACAAAUAAAAUAAGCAAAAUAAAAUAAAAUAAGCCAUUUUGAAAUGUGUAACCAGAUAUGAGUAUUUGCCCCUGUUUCCAGUGCAUUAGUAUUUGGUGAUGUAUAGUGGCUGAUUCUAUAGUCAUAACUAUUACCCAGUAAGAAAAAAAGUUUUUAAAAUAGUACCCUUAGAAUGAGUGUACCGUUUUCUGAUGAAGGAUAUUCCCAAUAUGGGAAGGAUAUUGACUGAAACUGAUAUAUGCAUGUAUGUGCGUGUGUUUAAGGAAAAAACACUAUUACUCUAGCACAGAUUAAAUUUGGGACUUAGGGCCAUAGUCAGCUGGUGACUUUCCCUGCAGGUCCUCUCUGCACUGCUGGAGACCACAGGCAGGAUGCCUGCCUGCAUGCUGAGAUGGUGUUUGUGGUCACUCUUACAUGCCAGACAUCCAGUCUCCAUGUGAUGACUGUGGAAUGACAGAGAAGGCUUUCCUGACAUGCGCCAGCUUUUCUUCACCCUUCUGCUCCAGUACUGUCGUGGGCUUGACGCUUGCAGCGCUGGCCCCACCCUGCCCUGCCAGUCUGAGGACGGCCGGAUGAAUUACCCACACUACUUUCUGCCUGGACUGAAUUUUCUUUGAUGGAAUGCCAUGCAGAUACCACCUGAUAACACAAACCUCAGUAUGAAGAGCUGAUAGAUCACAAAGCUACUGUAGGCAAUCUUCACCUACCAGUGAACUUUAAAAGUAUUUAAAAUCUCUUUUUAAAGGGCAUGAGAAUAUAAAUAUACAAACUACUUAGUCACUGAAAAACUUAUCUUUACUGUUUUGGAAAUGUGAUGAAGAAGCUCUAAGCACUAUCUGGAAGUGGAAGAUUGUAUGACCAUGGCUCAGAAUCCAAAAUUGGGAUCUACAUUGUAAAGCACUAGGACUACCUUUAUGGGAACCACAGAACAGACUGUUCAAAAUCAAGAAUGAGCAGGAAUCCAGACAAUUGGAACAGGAUACCAUCAUCUGUGGAAGGGGAACUGACACUUUGGGCCAAAGGAAGAUGGCCAUGGUCUUCUGUUAGGGUCAGUGAAUUCAGAGAGCUAAUUGCAAGGGCAGUGGGCAGUGUGCUGUGCUUUGAAGCCCUAAGGAGAAAGCCCCUCUGUUUUAGAACAGUAUGCUGUAUCUUGGUUAUAUGAGUACAAUGUAUAAAGGAAAGAAAAAGGAUCAAGAUAAAGAUGCCACUGGGAAAGAAUACACAGCCAUCUGGAUAAUUAAUUCUUUUUGGUUAAAUACUUGUGGCUGAGUUAUGUUUAGACUACAAAUGGAGAGAGGUGAUUGUAGAAGACUUUCAGCACAGACACCCCUUAUCAGUUAUAUCAAACAAUGUCUUACAUGGCAUCAACACAGUGUGAGAAUAUAGAUAACUCUCCAGGAUUCCAGAAGAUACAACCCAGCAGGGUAAGCAGGCAAUGAUUUCCUUUAGCUGUUUUAUAAUCUUAAAUCAUGCUAUUCCACACACGUCAAAUUGAGGGCUGGCAAACACAAAAGAUGGCCAUCAGGAUCCCGUUUCACCAUUUUGUCAAAUUAUAGUUCAUUUGACUCUGUAUCUCAGUUUUUAUUUUUAGUGUUUGACUUUAUAUUCUGUUUACUUUUUUUAUUGUCUUUUUUUCCCCCUCCGAAUCAUUGCAAUUGAGUAUAGGUGUAGGAACAGUUCUUGAAUGCUUUGGGGGCCUCCCCAUAUAGGGUAGUAGGAUUUCUGGAAGGGCUGAGUGAGACAGGAGGAAUCCUUCGAAAUAAUUUUUUGUUUGGGUCUGGAAUUGAAAUCUUGAGCUUAUAUUUAAGCAUGUGCAAUACCAAAAUACUUAUCAAGAACUUGGAAUAAUUUCUUCACUUUAAACCACACUAUUUAAGAAUGAAAACUUGAGAAUUGAAUGACAGAGCAGUUAAAUAUACAUAUAUAAAGCAUAUAUAAUGAUAUAUAUCAUUAUAUGUAAAUGUAUAGACAUUAUAAAUAUAUAUAUAUACCCACAUAUAUACAUAUGUGUAUAUUUAUACUUUAUAUACACACACAUAUACACACACUUUCCCUUGAUGGAUAAUAUAUAAACAAGAAACAAAGUGAAACAGAUUUGCCUUGUGCUUAAAAGUUACCAUGCUGAAUUUAGUAUAAUUCGACAAAUAUUUAUAGAACAACUGUAUACUAGAUGUUAGGAAAGGAGAGAAAAUUAGUUGUACAGAUUUUUGUCCUUAAGGUGCUUAUGUUAUAAUUUAGGAGACUAGAGAGUAAACUGAAAAUGUUAUUGUGUGACAAGGUAAACAGCAGACGAGCUAGGACAGCACUACUACGUCCAGGCUGUUAUGCACUGCAGGUGUAAACGCUGUCCUAGAGGGUUUAAACAUGUGCAGAGAAUUGUGAAGAAAAAAUUUGACCUAUGUGUUUGCAUUUUGAUUUGAGCUGUUUCUUGUGUGUAAAUGAUCACCAAAUUUACACAAUAACCUUAUAACCCUGAAACGUUUUUCUUAAUUAUGUCCUUGACUAGAUAUCACUUUUCCCUUCCAGUUCCAACAUUUUGUUAUUCUGUGACUCAAGAAAUUUGGUCUCGCUGCUGGCUUUGUGAGGAGUACGAGGUUUAAAGAAUAAACAACACCCCACUUAAUCACACCCCUACUUUUUGUUGUUGACUUUGGUGAAAGCCCCUCAUAUAUUAGAGACAGUUUCAGAAAUCUUGUGAAUCAUUUAACAAAUUAUUACAUCGUUAUUCAACUUUAAUUUAAUGAUAAUUACAUAAAUUAAUGAUUUCAAAACUGCUAAGGUUUGGUCAAGUCUAAAUUAUAACAAUGUGAAUUAUAGGCUGUUUUAUCUUUUAUUUUAGUUAACAAAACCACAGUGGGUUAGCCUGCAGGAAAUCUGGUCAAUUUUCAUGAUAAAUUGACUUGGCCAUAUAAUGCAUAAUUCAGUUGCACAGCUGUGUAGUCUGGUGUGUUUUCUCUGAGGAAUGUAGCUUUAUUUAUAGGUUUGUAUUAAGAAAAUCUGCUCCACUGUUUCACUUAUAUCUCAGAAACGUAUAAACCUGUGCAUACUAAUUUUUAACAUAAAAACAAACUAUACCUUAGUAUCAAAUUGCACAUAUAUUUUCUAAAAUUCACAUGCCAGGUUUUAAAGAACCACAUGAAAGUUCUUUGGAAGCUUUUCAUAUCAUUCUUGUAAUGGACCCCUUAUAUAGAAAAAUCCUAUUUUUUUAUGUUCAUAGUUUCAAUAAAAAUGUUCCUUAGUAUUAGGUAUUGAAUUUUUUUUAUUAAUGAAGAGGUUGGAUGCCAUAGGGCUAAUAGUAUGAAUAUUGAAGUCAUAGGCUGUAAAUAUUCCUUUUCUGUUUUCAUAAAUGCUGAAUGCCAUAACAUGAACAAAACCAAUAUAUAAAAUUGUAUUUUUUCCUUCAUCCCUUAUAGUCAUACAAGGGAAUACAGAAAUCACUCCAUUAUGGAUCCAAUCUCCAAUGAUGUUACCAUCAUGGUUUAACUUAGAAACAGACUAUAUAUGCAUCAGUAAGAACAAGGGGCUAAUGUGAGUCUCAAAGGUACUGAGGUCACCUGAGGCUGGUGACAGUAGAUAAAGUGGUCAGUUAUGUAGCUGUAUAAAAGCUGUUUGAUGACAGGAUUGAUUCUGAGAGCUAAGGUAGGCGUGCCAAAGGAGGUUCCUUGAAUCUUAUUAAAAUACACCUUUUAGCCAUGAACAGACCGGGGCAUUCUACGAACUGGAAAAGCCCAUUGAAAUAGUUCUGAUGUGGAGACUAUCUGUUCCACAGUCAUUGAAAUAAUAUUUCUUCAUCAAGCUUCAGCAUUGUAUGGUUCUUAAGAUUUUAGAAGGGAGGCAAAGGAGUGUUUCCAGAUGUUUCAGAAUAUUAUUUUAGGCAGAACUUUUAGCCAGAGUUUUUAUUUUGGCUAUGCUUACCUUUGAGGAAGUUAAAAAAUUUCGACUUAAAUAGUAGAUAUGAAGUCCAUCUAGAAAUUCGAUUACAGGUGAACAGUAUGCUCUUCUUAAUUUCCUUUUUAUAGGAUUGGUUGCAUAGAAUUACACUCCUUAACCAGCUGGUAUAUUUCAGAGAGAGUGUUGGACACAGGGAGUAAGCUGUCUGCUAAGUAUUUCCAGUUUCUUACUUCUACUUUAUUGUCAUUAUUCAUGGCAAUUAUCAUUAUUCAUAGUCACUAGAAAUAAUAAAAAGAGGUGAAAGUGAAAUUAAUGCUACAUUUAUUCUUUAUUAGGAUAUUAGAAUGAUUAUUUGAUAGAAAUUUGUGUAAAUUAAAUGCCAGAUAUACUUUCAAGAUUUUAUAUCGAUGCUUGAUAUUACAUAAUCAUUUUUCUGAGUGGGAACCAGUUAAGGUUACUGGGAAAACAUCAAGUAAAUAUAUAUUAAAUGCUGCUGAACUAUUUUAUGCAUUUAGCAAUAUUAUAGACAAGGGAGCUGAAACCCAAAUUUUGGUGAGUUAAAUAUUCCUUAAGGCUUAUGAUACCAUUAGAACAUAAUCUGUGGACUAUAGUACUAGAUUUCAAAAUAGUACUGAAAGUUCAAAAUUCUCAGAUGGUUUAAUUUUACGAAUUCAUGAUUUUUGUAUUUAUCUAGUAUGAUUUUAAAAUGUAGGUUAUUUACUAAAAUGUAAUUAAUAAUUUUCAGUAAUGUCUAAUUUAGGCAUUUCGAUAUAUACUUUGUUUCUGCCAGUACUCUAAGACUGAGGAAAUUGCACAAGAUUACUACCCAUUCAUACAGAAAAACCCGAACUGGAAAAUUAACAGCAUAGCUGGAAAGACUAAUGAAGUUAGUAUUUAAAAAUGCUUGUAGAGGCUCAAAAUCUAUCCCUGGACCCCAGAGGUGGCUUUUUAAAAAUAUAUAAUCAACGCAGUCAUGAAACUUCAGAAUCAUUUACUAUCACACUGGUGAACUACAAUUGUCUGUACUGCAACUUCCACAAUUUUUUCCUCACAAUUGUCUUUUACCACUCAUCAUUUCCUUUGGACGAAGUGCCUUUAUUAUACUCUCUUUAAAAAGACAAGUGGCUAAAUUGACCGGUAAGGUAGCUGGCCCGGGUUCGAACUCUGUUAUUGAAUUCCUAUAGUGGGAGUGAAAACAAAAAUACUGAUGGAUGCCCAUGUUAUGCCUACAAUUAACAGAGUAAACAUCCUAAUAGGCAUAGAAGACACAAACAGAUGUUCCAAUUGCAUGUCUGUGAGAAGCUGAUGUUUACUAGUUCCUUUCUGGCUUGGCCUUUGAGACCUCAGGAAGUUUCCCUCCCAGUGGGGAUUUCAGUGAUUUAUUGAUUUCAGCACAAUGAAUAUUUCAGAAACUAGCAGGAUUUUUAAGAGGUUAAACACAUCCUUACAAAGGUCAGCGUUGAUUCAUGCUUGAAGGGAAUGCUUGCUCCGCUUUAACCGGGGUAAGGGCGGUCACGUUUGCCACUCCUGCCUUGGUGGGGAGGACCACGGACAGGGGAAUGAAAGGGAUUUCCCAACAGAGAAUGUAGAAAUAGAACAUCAGCACAGAUUUUUUUUUCCUUUUAGCUGAACAAAAAUGAGGGAGGUAUGAAUAACUGCGAACUCCUAAAAAUUCCUGGUUGAAACACCAAUUGGUUUUGUUCAAAACAGUGAAGAUGAAUUUUAGGCUUGUAUUUGAGACACUCAGAACUGAAUAAUGUAAUAAGCCUCAGAAAUUCGAAAGAUUUUUAAAUGCUGAAAAUAUAUCUAUACCUUCUGUAUUGAAUUUACAAAUAUAUUCUGAUGUAGUUAGUUGGCCAGGGUUUACCAGAAACAGUCUAAAUAAAGUAAUUGAUGAGUAUUUUGUGUUCUGUGCUUUCUUCUUAGGCGCACUCAUGGUUAUUAAUAAACUGAUAUGUCCUCAUUAGUAUUAAUAAUGAUACUCAAUACUUAUCGAGAAUUUACUUAAUGCCAGGUACUGUGUAAAUGCUUUAAACAAAUUCUCAUUAAAAGAAUGCCAUUACAUCAGAAGAUUAAGUAUGAAAUCACAGCUGUUAUUUUGCAAUAAAUGCAAACAAUAUUUAUUUUCUUCUUAGCUUCUCUUUUAGGUUGUGUUCAGCCUUAGAAGCAUAAGAUCUGGCUAAGUAUUUUCUUCUUCUGAUUAAAAACAAUAGCAGAUAAGAAUCCUGCGCUAGAACAGGCCUUCUGCUUGAGUAUUUUAUGUCUGUAGACUAGCUGGAUACACGUGGCUGUUGGAUACCUGAAACAUAGCUGGUCUGAACUGAAGACUUUGGAUGCAGGAAAUAAUUUAAAAUACUGCCUUAAUAUUUGUGUAUUGACUACAUGUGAAAAUAGUAGUAUUUUAGACAUACAGGGUUAAAUAAAGUAUAUCAGUAAAAUUAAUUUAAUCUGUUUCUUUUACUUUUUUUUCCUUAAUGUAACUACUAGAGAGUUAAAAUUUUGAUAACCAAUUAUUUACCUAGUGGACACUGUAAAGUUUCUCAUAUCUUGGAAUCAGAUUGUAUACCACCAACUUCAUUUCCUGUCUGCACUGAUUUUUUGUAUGGUACCUCCUUUUGGCCAAAGCAAUCAUAGAAAGCCCAGCUUCACAAAGAUAUGACAUCAUCCCAAAGUGUAGUGUGAUCUAACAUUGAAACUGUGUACUCCUUUGAACUAUCAGGUCUUGUGGUGUCUACUAUUUGUGGAGUACUGCAAA